rnacentral:tRNA from 1 species
CCUUUCGAGCCCGUGACCCGGGUUCAAAUCCCGGCCGCGGCA